rnacentral:rRNA from 1 species
CCUACGGGAUGCAGCAGUGCGGAAUAUUGGUCAAUGGACGCAAGUCUGAACCAGCCAUGCCGCGUGCAGGAAGACGGCUCUAUGAGUUGUAAACUGCUUUUGUACGAGGGUAAACGCAGAUACGCGUACCUGUCUGCAAGUACCGUAUGAAUAAGGAUCGGCUAACUCCGUGCCAGCAGCCGCGGUAAUACGGAGGAUUCGAGCGUUAUCCGGAUUUAUUGGGUUUAAAGGGUGCGUAGGCGGUCGGAUAAGUUAGAUGUGAAAUCCCGAGGCUCAACUUCGGAAUUGCCUUUGAUACUGGUCGGCUAGAGAAUAGUUGCGGUAGGCGGAAUGUAUGGUGUAGCGGUGAAAUGCUUAGAGAUCAGACAGAACACCGAUUGCGAAGGCAGCUUACCAAGCUACUUCUGACGUUGAGGCACGAAAGCGUGGGGAGCAAACAGGAUUAGAUACCCGAGUAGUC